rnacentral:rRNA from 1 species
AGCAUAUCAAUAAGCGGAGGAAAAGAAACUAACAAGGAUUCCCCUAGUAACGGCGAGUGAAGCGGGAUGAGCUCAAAUUUAAAAUCUGGCUGGUUUACUAGUCCGAAUUGUAGUUUAUAGAAGCGUUUUCGGUGGCAGCCUGGGUAUAAAUCCUUUGGAAUAGGGUAUCAUAGAGGGUGAGAAUCCCGUCUUUGACUCAGUGCAUGCUACUAUGUGAUACGUUUUCAAAGAGUCGAGUUGUUUGGGAAUGCAGCUCAAAAUGGGUGGUAAAUUUCAUCUAAGGCUAAAUAUUGGCGAGAGACCGAUAGCGAACAAGUACCGUGAGGGAAAGAUGAAAAGAACUUUGAAAAGAGAGUUAAACAGUGCGUGAAAUUGUUGAAAGGGAAACGCUUGACACCAGUUAUGCGGGUGGAAAAUCAGUCUUUUGCAAUGGGGAGUUGUGGGCGUUCAGACCGCAAGGCUGGCGUUUGCUUCAUCUUUGUUGUAAGUGAUGCACUUUUUCAUUUGCAGGUCAACAUCAGUUUGCUUUGCUGGACAAAACCCCAAGGGAAGGUGACAGCUUAGGCUGUGUUAUAGCCCUGGGGCGAUACAGUGGAGUGGACUGAGGUUUCGCAGUGUGUGCUCUCGGGCAAGGCUGACUGGGUGCUAUGGGAUCGUUCGGCGUACAAUGCAUGCAUUUUGCGUCGUGUCUUUUUCAUACUCGCUCAACUCGGCUCUUCCACGCUUAGGAUGUUGACUUAAUGGUUUUAAUCGACCCGUC